CUUGAAAUAUUUUAACAGAUGAUAUGGAUUGCAUGUGUACCACUUAGAAUAAUUAUUAACCCUGACCACUGGGGGUAUUUCCAAAUGUUCAGGUACUUAUGCCACAAAUGAUCAGUUGGGAGAACUUGGGCCAAUUUUGCAACUUCUCUGUGGCUUAAUGCUCAUGUUUAUAAUUGGAAAUGAUGUGUAUAUCAUAAGUUACUGCAAGGUUUGUGUGGCAUUUGCUGUGAUAUACUUAGAAUAAUGCAUAAUGCUUAGUAUUCCAUGAAAAUUAAUUAUCAUUCUGAAAUAUUUAGGCCUUAGACUGAAAAGAUAAUCAAAAACAUUUUUACUAAAUACAAGGAGUUAGUAGUUUUUUUCUUUUGGUUUUAUUGUGUUUCUUUGCAAUCAAUAGCUCAUCAAUCUGAUAAAACACCUUGAAAAUUAGCUGAGCUGUUUGAUCAAUUUUCAGGGAUAUUGGAAGGGAUCAAGAAAUUGAACUAAGUGUUCAAAGUACUUUACAACACUAAGUUUAUUAGUCAGGAGUUCUUUAUUUUGCAAGUGACAGGAUCCUAUAGAGAAAUAUCUUAGGGAAAAGAAACACUCUGAGAAAGAUAAUGUCUGACUGAAAGAAGUGGUGAACAACCUUAGAGCAGAGCAUUCAAAGACAUAGUUUCAUGAGGACAAUGCAGAGGAACUCAUGUGUAUGCUGUGUAUGCAGUGGUUUGGGGUCACAAGUGAGGAAUACUGAGCCUGCAGAAGCCACUGUAUUAAUACAAGAAGGGAAUAGCAGUACAGAAGAGCAGAACAUUUCAGAAUUGAACUAGUGUUACUCCAUCCUCUAUCUCCAAGAUGGCUUAUAUAGAGUGCCAGUCACAACUACACAAUUGCAAAUUUCAGGUAGAUCUCUCUAGAAAGUUUAGUGCACAUAGUCAGUAACGUGAAGCAUUAUUGAGUCCCCGUUUCCAGUACCAAGCCCUGAGAGAUGGUCAAAGCUAGAGGCAAAGUAUGGCUGGACUCCACAUAUCUCUUCUAUGGACGAAGAGAAAAAUGGCAGAAAUUAUAGGAAAAAGUGGAAUGAAAAGUCUAUAAGAAUUUCAACUCAAUAUUUAAGAAUCCCAUACAUAAAAGUAUGAUAGUUUAAUAUGGAAGGGUAUCAUAUGUAUUUUACCCCAUAAUCCUCAAGAACGAAAUUACUUAUUAUCGACAGUAAGGACAAGUAGAGAAUAAAUCCAUAAAAAUCAUCAAGAAUAAAAGGAGUUAUCAGUGUUUGAGUAGUAGUCUACAUUAAUGACUUUCUCCAUUUUUUUCCUCCCCUCAUCCUGACUCUUUCAAGUAUUUAGUUUGUUUAUGCUCAUUUCCUCAGGGAAAA
rnacentral:lncRNA from 1 species